rnacentral:hammerhead_ribozyme from 1 species
AUCCAGCUGGUGAGUCCCAAACAGAACGAAAUGGACAUCCUAGAU